rnacentral:ribozyme from 1 species
GCAUAGCAUUACCAGCAAUAACAGCCUAAUUCCAUUUCCUCGUUCAUAAGCUACUUAUGUAAAUGCUAGAUUCUGAAUAAAAAAUAAAGAAGUUUAAGUGGUCCCUAACCUCUUCCUCACCCCAACCCCACCAAUUUUGAGUCUUGUUGGGAAGCUUCUGAAAAUAAAUCAUGUAGUAUGUGAUAAGUGAUCAUAAAAG